GACGAACGCUGGCGGCGUGCUUAACACAUGCAAGUCGAACGGAAAGGCCCUGCUUUUGUGGGGUGCUCGAGUGGCGAACGGGUGAGUAACACGUGAGUAACCUGCCCUUGACUUUGGGAUAACUUCAGGAAACUGGGGCUAAUACCGGAUAGGAGCUCCUGCUGCAUGGUGGGGGUUGGAAAGUUUCGGCGGUUGGGGAUGGACUCGCGGCUUAUCAGCUUGUUGGUGGGGUAGUGGCUUACCAAGGCUUUGACGGGUAGCCGGCCUGAGAGGGUGACCGGGCACAUUGGGACUGAGAUACGGCCCAGACUCCUACGGGAGGCAGCAGUGGGGAAUAUUGCACAAUGGGCGGAAGCCUGAUGCAGCAACGCCGCGUGCGGGAUGACGGCCUUCGGGUUUUAAACCGCUUUCGCCUGUGACGAAGCGUGAGUGACGGUAAUGGGUAAAGAAGCACCGGCUAACUACGUG
rnacentral:rRNA from 1 species